ensembl:snoRNA
AUUUCAAAGAGGGCUUGUGGAACCAAAAGCAAGAGCUCUUAACACUGAAGUUCUCCACAAGAUCUAAUAUUCGCUCAAUAGUUUUAUCUUUUCCUGAGGAAAUAUAGGA